rnacentral:rRNA from 1 species
UACGUAGGGUGCGAGCGUUAAUCGGAAUUACUGGGCGUAAAGCGUGCGCAGGCGGUGAGCUGUGUCCGAUGUGAAAGCCCCGGGCUUAACCUGGGAAUGGCAUUGGAAACUGGCUCGCUGGAGUGUGGCAGAGGGGGGUGGAAUUCCGCGUGUAGCAGUGAAAUGCGUAGAGAUGCGGAGGAACACCGAUGGCGAAGGCAGCCCCCCUGGGCUAACACUGACGCUCAGGCACGAAAGCGUGGGGAGCGAACAGG